rnacentral:rRNA from 1 species
UAGGGAAUCUUCGGCAAUGGACGGAAGUCUGACCGAGCAACGCCGCGUGAGUGAAGAAGGUUUUCGGAUCGUAAAGCUCUGUUGUAAGAGAAGAACGAGUGUGAGAGUGGAAAGUUCACACUGUGACGGUAUCUUACCAGAAAGGGACGGCUAACUACGUGCCAGCAGCCGCGGUAAUACGUAGGUCCCGAGCGUUGUCCGGAUUUAUUGGGCGUAAAGCGAGCGCAGGCGGUUAGAUAAGUCUGAAGUUAAAGGCUGUGGCUUAACCAUAGUAGGCUUUGGAAACUGUUUAACUUGAGUGCAAGAGGGGAGAGUGGAAUUCCAUGUGUAGCGGUGAAAUGCGUAGAUAUAUGGAGGAACACCGGUGGCGAAAGCGGCUCUCUGGCUUGUAACUGACGCUGAGGCUCGAAAGCGUGGGGAGCAAACAGGAUUAGAUACCCUGGUAGUCCACGCUGUAAACGAUGAGUGCUAGGUGUUAGACCCUUUCCGGGGUUUAGUGCCGUAGCUAACGCAUUAAGCACUCCGCCUGGGGAGUACGAAACGCAAGGUUG